rnacentral:tRNA from 1 species
GCCCUUGUAGCUCAAUGGUCAGAGCACUCGCCUUUUAAGCGAUAGGUUGCCGGUUCAAGUCCGGCCGGGGGCA